AAAUGUUGACUGGCGAUCAUGAGAUAGUAAAAAACUAUGAAGUAAAUCCCAAAGGAUGCAUAGCUAGAAAGCGGCACGUUAUAUUGGACAUCAUCAAGAAUUGACUACUUUGCUCGAAAAUGUUUUAGCAGCCAUGUGUACGUUUGUGUAGGAGCUUUGCCACUCGCCUACUUCUACCAAUCCCAUCUUGUCCUACGCCACCUAUCCAGCAGCACUCGAAUUUACAGAUGCCCCUCCACAAGUUUCUUUAGAGAAGGUGAUGCCAACUUAAGGUUGGUUCUCACUUGGACGUUAGCGCAAGCGGAACACACGUAGUCUUCCGAUUCUCACUAGAACAUAAGCGCAAACGGAAGCGCAAGAGAACACAACUGCGUGUUUCUUGCCCUUGCUUAUGUUUAACCGAUUCACACUUGUCUUGCGCUUCCGUUUGCGCUUACGUCGUAGUGAGAACCAACCUGUACGGCUUGAUCAUGUCACAUUGCUGCCUAUAUAAUUCAGGCGUCAAGUUUGCUGGUUACAGCAACAAACAGCUAU